CUUGAGUUGAUUCAAUUGGUACAUGAUCAAGGCCAACAAGUGAUUCAUUCCACAAAUGAAGAAGCUCAUACCCAAUCUAGUUCAACCCAUUCCUACUUAUUGAGCUUAACCCAAGUCAAACCCACCUCAACAAAACCCUGAUGCUGCAUUUGAACCUAACCUAAACCCCCAAAUAAACCCGGUUUAAACCAAGGUAAGACUAGGAUAUGUAUUCAGUAGUCAUGGAUACAUUUGAGGCUUUGACGGUGGAGGACACUGAACUUGACAAUAUUGAUCACAUGAAGAAGAUGCUCAAUACCAUUUAAGUGUAUUCCACUCCUAUUACUGAACCGUAUUCGACGAUCAUAAAUUCAGGGGAGUUUGUUCCAUUCCACUCUUUUAUUUUUCAUUAUAGAUAUCAUGUCUUUACUUUGAUGUAUGAAUAAUCUCUUGGUUUACGUUAGUAAUUUUGUUGGUUUUUGAGUUAUCUUGUUGGUUUUGUAAAUAGUUUUUUUAGUUUUUGGAAAUAAAAUGUACCCCUUACAUUUCUCUAUGUCAUUUUAGAUAUUUUGAAAGCUAGUUAAAUUUGAUUGUUAAGUUUUGAAAUUUAUUGUCAUGAAUGGAAUCUUGGAUUGCAUGAAGUUACUACUUAGUGAUGGAUUCUAGAGUGAUUAAUUGAGACGAUAAUUUGAAUACCUAGUGAGGAUUUAGCUUAUUUGUGUGAUGCACUUGUGUGAUUGUUACUCUAGAACUUGCUUUUGUUCUUUCAAAACCACAUUACAUUAGAAUCAUUCUUAUGAAGGUGAAUCUAUUUGUUUUUCUUUCUUCCACACAAUUUCUUGCUAAUUUUCGUGUCAAUCAUCAUAUCAUUUAACUUUUCUCAUUGGAUACUUUGGAUGUGGAUACAUGGAUUGUUAUAUGAUGAAUUAUUUGGCCAAGAUGGACAAGGUUUAAGUAAGGGGGAAGCUUCUAUUGUUUUGUUGAAUGGUUGCAAGAGAAUUUUGAUUGGAAAUAUUCAUUGGAAAGUUAUUAGUAAUAACUGCUAUGGAGUAAGUGAGGGAUAUAGAUUUGAUGUAUUUUGCAAGUGUAAUAGCUCAAGUGGUGGAAAUCACGUACACUAAUUUUUGUGUCAAGUUGCUGAUUUUUUAUGCCUAUUGUGGACACUGUUCUCUGAGCAAGUUAAUGAAGUUUACUUGGUAAACAUGUGAAUCAUUUAAAGUUGAAGUUGGAAAGGGUAGCUAAGAGGUUGUGAAAUUUGUGUAUCAAGUGUGUACCAAAAUAUUUGGGAGCAGCACUAAGUCAUUGAAAAACUCGAGUGGAACUCUUGUAUUUUCAGUAACAAAUGGUAUGUUGUUUUCUCAUGACCUCCAUGAACUAUAUAUCUGAAUUUAAGAAGCUCGGAAUUAUUGAAACAAUGAAGCACUGAAGGAGAUUUAAGGAACUGGAACUGAAAAGUGAGUGAGCUGUGGCAUUAAAAGAAAGGAAAUAGGAUUGGGAUCUUAGUUGGAGAAGUUCUGGUCCAUUCAAGAAGCAAAAUGGAUUACAAGCUUUAGAAGGCAGUGAUUAAGACAAAAGUAGUCACUUGGCAUAUAAAAAAAAUAGUGAUGAUGAAGGCAAGUUGCUGAAGCUUGUUUGAUCGAAAAGAGUGCUAAUGGAAUUGGAAGUUGUUUGUACUUGCCAUUCACACAAAAUGAGACCAUGUUCCAGCCAACAAAGGAAUGAGUUCUAAAGGCAGUAAGCUGGAAAACAGAAUGUAAUAGUGGCUGGAAAGCAAGCAGAAUCCAGAAUUACAGUUGUGACAGUAACAAAAGGGAAACUGAGGUUGCUCUUCAGUGCAGUAAUUUAGAGAUGGAAAUGCUGUUUGUAUUGGAGAACAAAUCUGUUGGUUCCUUAACUAUCUAACAUUGGAAUACAUUUUUGAGCUGAUUGUGAAGCAAAGGUUAAAGUUAAAUGAAAGAAUGAAGUGUUAGAUGCAGUAUAGAUUUACACAGGAAUAAGAGAUGUCAUGAACAGAGAAAAAAAUGAAAAGGAAAGAAGAGAAGCUGCAAUUUCAGAAACUGGACUUGUUGGAGCUGUGAUGAUUGUUGCUGAAUUCUGUGAUCAAAGCUGUUGGUGUUCAAUAGAUUUUGAUUUGGUUUUCUACCAAUGCAAUAGAGAUGCACAUCUCUAGCUGGAUGGCAUUGAGUGUUAGCUGCAAACAAAGAGAGAAAAUCUGAAAGGAAAGUCAUGUUAACUGAUCAGAAAUAUGGGGAUUGUUUUCAACAGUGAACUUUGUAUCGACCUAGCCUAUGGUAACAACCUCUUGCUGGAGCUCCCUAAUUACUGAAGAAUUAUAGUAGAGUUUUUGAUUACUCAUUGUUGGUUGAUGUUUUUUUUUCCCUUCCCAAUUGCUCUAUGUUUCAAAACUUGCAAGUCCAUUAAGUGGUAACUGAAUUUCUUAAGAAGUUGAAUUGUGAAUUGGAUUUUAGUUGAGUGCCAAUUUUGGUGUGCAGAUUUAUAAUUAUUGAGAGGUCUAAAUGAAGCUUUUGAUCCUUUGUGAUAGACAUCUGGUGUUCUCUUCUCCUCAAAUUCCUUGUGAUUCAAUACCCGAAAAUAUCGGGAAACUGAUUUCUGAAGCUACAAAUUACAAUCCAGAAAAUUAACAUCUGCCUGAAUUUGAAUUAUGAAAUUAUAAAACCUUUGACAGCUCAAUUCAUUGAGUUCCUGCUGAACUUGGUUUUUGAAUUGUGAAAUGUAGAGAAUCUUGCUUGUUAAGAACUGAAUUUGAUUUCUGUAACUUAAUUGAAGCUGUUGUCUGCUCAUUUCAUCAAAUCUUUGCUGAAUUUGAUUUUUUGGAAGUGAACUCCUGAAUUCAGAGAGAAAAUAAGGGAUUGAUGCCAUCUUGGAGUCUUUGCAGCUACUAUUGGUGAAGUUGCUGAAUUUAAAUCAGCUGCUGGAUUGUUUCAAACAGAUGAAAUUUUGGCACACUGCAGCUGUAAUUUAGUAAAUUGGAAUUUUAGGAUUUAACAAUAAUCAAAAUACUAGGAGACAUGUUUAGUAGGGGAAACCUUGGAAGACAGUGAUAACAAUUGAAGCUUUAAUGGAAUCUGUAAUUUUCAGGAAUUAAUAGAUAUCAGCAUCUCAGAAAUUCUGAAAUAUGUUAAAGCUACUGAAAAUUUCUGAAUUCUUCGGAAAUCAAACCAUAUUCAGUAUUUAGUUGACAAUGCAUGAAUGGCUAGUAGUGGAGUUUCAAGAGAUGCUGUAAUUGGUUCAUUAGCCUUGUUUCAGUUCUUUACCAAAGCAAUAUAAAUGCAAUUUUUAAGAUGUUUAGACAACAAAUGUCAUCUAAAAAAAAGGAAAUUGUUAACGUCUUUGAAUCUGAUUUUUUUAGUAAAUUGGUAGGAAUUUUGGAGUAGGUUAUGAGUUCAUAGAUUGGAAGGACACAAGAACAACCUACGGUUGCAUCUGAAAUUGGUCUCUGAAUCUCAAAAACAAGAACAUAAAUAGGAAUGCAGGGAUGUUGCUAGUUUCUGAUCAAUAACAGCUUCAAAUGGUGAACUUGAUCUGGGUACUAAUUUCUGAAACUGAGGCAGUAAAGUGGAGAACUUCAUUAACUCUUGUUGGGUGCCAAUCCUUAAUUCAGAGACUCUGAAAUCUGAUAGAGUUACUGAAAAUUUCUAAAAAUUUCAGAAUCAAUCCAUAUUCGGUGUUUAUUUGUUUCUUCCAUUGAUAAGUUGGCACGAGUUAAUUGGAUAGCAUAAUGUAUUACAUUGUCCGAAAUGGACAAUGUUUUAAGUGUGAGGGAGGAGCAUGUAGGCUAAGUCCAUAAUUCUGAUUAAGAGGGAAUUGAAAAUUCAAGCUUUUAUUGGUUGAGUGUUCAAUGAGAUAGAUUAUGGAGAUUAAACUUGAAAGUUCGAAAUGAGAUUCUAAGGAAAUCAUAACUUGAGCUGAAUCAGAAAUGAAGGUUGCUGGAUUUGAGCUACACAAUGCUACUGCACAGAAUUCAGAAGUUAACCACAUUAAAAACAUUAAGAGACAUGUUGAAGAAGAGAUUUGGGAAUGAUAAUGAAAUCAACUGAAGCUCAAUCUGUACAAUGAAGCUGGAAUCAAGUGUAGUUGUUUGUGGGAAUUUUUGUGCCAAUGGUGUACCAAAUUUCGGGAGCAGAACUGAAAUCAGCAAGAAGGCCAAGUGAAGCCCUGGUAUUUACAAAAAUAAAUAGUAUUCUUCUCCCUCCAUGACCUAACGGUAUUUCUGGAUUUGGAAGCUAGGAAUAACUGAAAUAAUGUAACCAAUGCAAGAAAUUUUAGAAACAGGGAAAACAAUGAGAUUUGCAGCUGCUGGUAAUCUGAUCAUUAUGGAUCAAGAUUUGGAAUUUAAUUUAUGCGUACAAUUCCACUCAUGAAGCACUUGAAGAUAGUAUCAUUAAAUCUGAAAACAAGGAAAAGAUAGUUCUUGAUACUCAAAGCAGUGAGGUGUAAAGGGAAAAAAAAAAUUCAGUUAUGGAGUUGUAUCUAGUGUGUAUCAAACUUUUAUCAACUCUCAAAGUAGCGAGGAAAACUAGUGAACCUCUUACAUUUAUAGAUUCCGAUGGUGUCUCAAUUCUUCCUAAGCCUUUCUAAAUUGCUUUGAAUAGAAUUUUGAAAGUAUCAAACGGUUUAUAUGGAAAAUUGUGAGUUGUUUGAAUAGGGUGAGUGUAAUUUGGGGUGCAGAAUUUGAAAUUAAAUUGGUGAGCAUCUUUUUACUUAUGAAGUACUUCAAAUUGAAACAUUUUUUCUGAAGAAAUGAAGACAAUCACUGCCAAUUGAUACCAAAAUAUGGAAGCCAGCGAAUGGUAACAGAUUGGUUUAAAUCUGUUUGGAAUCAAUUUGUAAGAUUUAGGUCACAACUGAUAUGUACUUCUUGUAUAACAAGGAAUGAGUUCUAACUACAAACAUUUUAAUAGCUAUCAGUGGGAGUUAUAUUUACAAAGCAACAAACUCUCAAAUUGCUGGAAAAGAAUCUGCUGGAAGCUGCUGUAUGCUGUGCAGAAAUUAUAGAAGAAUGUUGUAAUGAUUGUUCUGAUUAGAAACUUCUAGUUGUUGUAAUUAGAAUUAAAAACUUGUUGGAUGACAGCUGUAUAAACUGUUGUUCUCCAUUGUAAUACAAGAGCGAACAAGAAACGAUGAGCUCAAAGAAAAGAUUAGCUGAAUGUUAGCAAAUUGCAGAAUCAGAAAUAGUUUGAAAUUGUACAGAAGUGGUCAGAACUGAAGUUUGGAACUUUAGGGGGCUGAAUAGGAAAGCAACAAGAGCCAAUGAACUCAAGAUCCAAAACUAAGCUAAUGAUGCUAUGAAUGAAUGUAUCAACCUAAACUUGUGGCAUGCUAAGUCCUUCCUGCAGAUUUCUUAUCAGUGAAAAGUUCAAUAGAAAUUCCUAUCCUCUUAUUGUUGCUUGUUGUUCACUUCUCUUGCACUCUUCUCUGCACUGGAGUCUGAAACUAGUGUAGCUGAUGACUUAAAGGACUGUUGUUGGAAUUGUCAACAAAAGUUCAUACGAGUUUGGUGCCAAAUUCAGUUGAUGAAUGGUUGCUGGGAAGCUGCUGUUGAAUCAAAUCUAUUGAGUAUAUGUUUUGUUCGGAAUCAAAUAAGAUGAGCACUUCCUAGCUAACCAAGGGAGGAGUUUUAAUUGCAAAUGAAGAAAAGUUAAUGGAAGUCCUAGAGUUCAAGCUAAAAUCUGUCAAAACAGAAAAGCAGUGAGGACACUUGAGUUGAUUCAAUUGGUAUAUGAUCAAGGCCAACAAGUGGUUCAUUCUACAAAUGAAGAAGCUCAUACCCAAUCUAGUUCAACCCAUUCCUACUUAUUGAGCUUAACACAAGUUUCUUUUUAAUUAAC